rnacentral:siRNA from 1 species
AGCUGUAGUGGAAGAGGAGCAGCU